ACAUUUUCCCUCUUAUUAUAAAACGCGGUAUCAAAUAAGUAUCGGCUUUUGUACUACCUUUAAUCCACCUUUAAGUACGACCUUGAAAAAACGUUAUUACAAAACGCAGUUUAUCGCAAGUCCUAUUACUAUCUGUAGUACAAAAGAUAAACCAUCGAGCCCCCUAGUUUAACUGCAGUACUUAGUCGACAAACGUCAAAUUCCGACAUUAUUUACUUUUGAGGUUAUUUGUUUUGUGAUGAAAAAAACGAAAGUGGAUAUAAAUAUGUGUGAUUUGGAAUACUUGGAUGUGUUAGAAUACUAUUGAGAGUGUCCGGGGACCCAACAGAAUGCGUCAUCGACAAAAUCUCUUCAAAUUACCUGACGACAAUUUUCGAUAUAAAUAUCGAUUUACGUUUUUCGAAAUAAUAGUCAAUUGAAUGCAUGAUGAUAAUCCAGGAUGAUCCUAUGAUGCUCAACUGGGUUCGCCACAAAAUUCAAGACUAUUUUGGCGUUUUGCACGCCGUAUCUCUGCCAGUAAUAUGCAAUGUUUGUAAAAGACUGGAAGCUUGCUAAAAUGUACAAAAAUGCCUAGAUGAGAAAGGGAACAAGAUUGUGUGAUGAAGAACAGUGUCCAACAUGUAGCAGUGCAUUUGACUGUAUAAAUAGACAUCGGAAUAAAAUAUAAUUUUCUACUUUUA
rnacentral:lncRNA from 1 species